rnacentral:rRNA from 1 species
UACAGAGGGUGCAAGCGUUAAUCGGAAUUACUGGGCGUAAAGCGCGCGUAGGUGGUUUGUUAAGUUGGAUGUGAAAUCCCCGGGCUCAACCUGGGAACUGCAUUCAAAACUGACAAGCUAGAGUAUGGUAGAGGGUGGUGGAGUUUCCUGUGUAGCGGUGAAAUGCGUAGAUAUAGGAAGGAACACCAGUGGCGAAGGCGACCACCUGGACUGAUACUGACACUGAGGUGCGAAAGCGUGGGGAGCAAACAGG